rnacentral:rRNA from 1 species
CACACGACUCUCGGCAACGGAUAUCUCGGCUCUCGCAUCGAUGAAGAACGUGGCGAAAUGCGAUACCUGGUGUGAAUUGCAGAACCCCGCGAACCAUCGAGUCUUUGAACGCAAGUUGCGCCCGAGGCCACUCGGCCGAGGGCACGCCUGCCUGGGCGUCACGC